CAACCAUCAAGCCCCCGGGCUUGCGUUGGGGCCCUGCGGCUGCCGCAGGCCCCUAAAUGCAGUGGCGGGCUCGCCGUCGCACCGAGCGCAGUAGCAUACCUCUCGCUCUGAGCGUGGCGGCGGGCACUAGCCGUGAAACCCCCAUUAAACCCCAAAGG
rnacentral:misc_RNA from 1 species